CGUUUCGUGCCGUUUCGUGUCUCGUUCGUGCCUAAGUCGUGAGUCAUACGUUCGUUUUCGUGAUUCAUAGUUCGCUUUCGUGCUUUCUUCGUGCCUUAAUCGUUUCAUCGUUAAAUCGCGUCCAUCGUCACUUUUAUUUUGCUUUCGUGCCUAAGUCGUGACUCAAUCGUUUCAUAUUCGUGCUCAUUCAUUUCACGUUCGUGUCACGCGUCGUGUGUGUUGUGUUGUGACUUAAUCGUUUCAUCGUUAUCGUUCAUCGAUAAUCGUUUCGUGUUUGUGUCACGCGUUUUAAUCGUGUCUAUCGUAUCCCUUAUUUUGCUUUAGUGCAUUACUCGUGCUCAUUUAUUACGUGUCACGCGUCUAUCGUGACUCUUAUUUCGCUUUUGUGCUCGUGCUUUCGUGUCUUACUCGUAACUCGAUCGUUUCAUAGUCAAAUUUCGUGAUCGUGUCACACGUUUUCAUCACGUCUAUCGUGACUAAAUCAUUUCAUACUCGCUUUCGUGUCACGCGUCGUGAGUGUUGUGUUUGGCUGCUCACGGUGUCAUCUCUAGCUGUGCUGCGGGAUCCGUUGGGAUGACAGCCAAAGUGCUUUUUUUUUGUUGUGUUACAAAAUUUAAUAUGCUCAAUUCUUCGAAGUUUCUUCAAUAAUUUUUAAAGCUCAAACUGACCGAGUGAACUCAGCAUCGGUUGAUGCUAACUAACUGGAAUUUGAUUGGUUUCAGCUUGUGUCACUUUUUUUUGGUUUGAUGUGACCUUCGAUGCUUUCCAUCCUGAGUUCAAAGUGCAAAAAUGAAAGUUGACUGAAAUAAGGUUUUCAGAGCUCCAAUUCGAUUCGAAAACAACUAACUGCGUAGCUUUUGGCACUUGGAAUGUGAGAUUAAGUGUUAUUUGCAGCUGGCUUAAUUAAGCGGAUGCCAUCACAACUAAAAUGCAAUUUAUCGACUUGGGUGUUUAUGAUUUAUCGCCUGCCAUUUGGCAAUGAGAUGGAGACAAGAUGAGACGCGAUGAGACGGAGGCCGACUGAUGGGGAAAUUCAAAUGGCAUUUGGG